GAGGUUGUGGCUCAGAGGAAGAGUGCUCGCUUAGAAUGCUUGAGGCACUGGGUUCAAUCCUCAGCACCACA
rnacentral:tRNA from 1 species